rnacentral:rRNA from 1 species
UACGUAGGGGGCGAGCGCUGUCCGGAAUCAUUGGGCGUAAAGCGCGUGUAGGCGGCCCGAUAAGUCCGCUGUGAAAGUCCAGGGCUCAACCCUGGGAUGCCGGUGGAUACUGUCGGGCUCGAGUCCGGAAGAGGCGAGUGGAAUUCCUGGUGUAGCGGUGAAAUGCGCAGAUAUCAGGAGGAACACCAAUGGCGAAGGCAGCUCGCUGGGACGUGACUGACGCUGAGACGCGAAAGCGUGGGGAGCAAACAGG